AUAACUGCACACUGAACUGACUUACCUGGGAGCCAGGCUGGGAUUUUUUCUUCCUCCACCAGCUGGUCAUAGGGAACACCUUCCUCCCAGGCUAUAGGUAUGAGCCAAGGAGGAAGCAUCAGAGCUGGGGGGCAACAUGGGGGCUGUGCCACCGGUUCAUGAACUCCCUCACACUAUGGACGACCCGUCCCUGACCCUGGACCUACCGUUCCCAUUUCAUGAAGGCUGGCUGUUGGGUCUGCAUCCUUGACUUCGUGGGUCCGACUCCACCCAGCUCUUGAUGGCAGUACCCGCCAUGUGGUCCGUUGAUUUCCUUUGAUCAUCACUCAGCCUGUACAAAAGCCCGGUCUUGUAGACCAGGAUCUGCCUUUUGAGUGGCAUAGAACCCUCUGCGGGGCUGGCAUGCCUUGCUCCAGAACCCCGGGGCUCACGAUAAUUAUGGUUCUUUCCCAGCAUGGAUUCCACCAGCACCACGGGGCCCGCUGGCACACAUGCCUAAGAGGCAGGGCUGUUCAUGAAUGGCCUGGAGCUGCUGCCCAGCCCUUUCCUACUCUGGGCACAUACAAAGCGAGUAGCCUCACCUGUUCCCUGAGAAGUGGGUCCGAGAAGUGUUCCUACAUGAAGAAUAUGCUGCUUCUAGGACCUGAAGAGGCCCACCAAGCAUUGUGCAUCUCGCUGAUAGAGACAGCGUGACUUUUACUUUGGAGGGUGCGAUGGUUCAUUUUACCUGUUCACCUGAGAGGCCACGCCACCCAGAUAUUUGGCCAAACAUGAUUCAAGAUGUUUCUGUGGAGGUAUUUCUUAGAUCAGAUUAAUGUCUAAAUCAGAACACUUUGAGGGAAGCGAAGGCAUAAAGUUGGUGGGCCUCCUCUAAUCGGUUGAAGACUUAGUAGGAAAAAGACUGAGCUCCCUGAGGAAAAGGGAAUUCUGCCAGCAGGCGGUACAGGAGCUUCAGCUCUUUCCCGGGUCUCCAGCCUGCUGGCCUAUCCUGCAGAUUUGGGACUUGUUGACUUCCAUAAUCAUGUAAGCCAAUUCCUUAAAAUAAAU
rnacentral:lncRNA from 1 species